AUCAGCAGCCAUAUCACCCUGCAACUCACAACUGGCAACCCACUGAAGCUAAGCAGGUGUGAGCCUGGUCAGUACCUGGAUGGAAGACCUCCUGGAAAAAACUAAGGUUGCUGCUGGAA
ensembl:rRNA 5S_rRNA 5S ribosomal RNA